rnacentral:lncRNA from 1 species
CAAAAGUUGUGAUUCUCCAAGAUGUAAAAGGAAGACACUGCUUCCUUUUGGAAGCAAACUGAUGCAGGAAGCUGAGAUAGAAGAAAUGGUGUAGAUGAUACUUCUCUGUGGGACAGACAUGAGGCACGAAGCAAUGUUCAGCAGAUGUACUGUGCAUCCUUCAUGGUCUGCUUAGGACGGCUUCCUCAGAGAAGUGACACCAGUGCUACUUCCAGUUCUAUCCCUGUUUUCAUGCCUUUGUCCCAGCCUUAUGAAACUCCAGGCUGAUGUGCAGACGGGCAGGAAAAAAUUGCCUUCCAGAUGAAAUAUAUGGCAAGAAGAGCUAUAUUUCCAAACAAUUUCAGGGAAAUAAUUUUGUAAGUUAUUUGUCACUCUGCUGCACAAAAUGAUCAGACACACUGUCCAAUCAACAGCAAACCAGAAACUAACAGGCAUGAGAUGUGCUCCAACAUGUGCUGGCAGGAGCAGUCAGAGAAGACUGGCUACAGAAGCUCAUCAAGAAAUGCAAAAGACAUGACCUGCUAUGUAAGGUAUCAGUGAGACCUUCCUUUCUGAAGAGGUUUUUUUCCUUUAAUGCUCAUUAUUUCUGAGAGCC